GAUGAACGCUGGCGGCGUGCCUAACACAUGCAAGUCGAACGAAGCGACUCAAAGUUUUCGGACAGAGAGUUGACUGAGUGGCGGACGGGUGAGUAACGCGUGGGUAACCUGCCUCAUACAGGGGGAUAACAGUUAGAAAUGACUGCUAAUACCGCAUAAGCGCACAGCAUCGCAUGAUGCAGUGUGAAAAGCCGAGACGGUAUGAGAUGGACCCGCGUCUGAUUAGCUAGUUGGUGGGGUAACGGCCCACCAAGGCGACGAUCAGUAGCCGACCUGAGAGGGUGACCGGCCACAUUGGGACUGAGACACGGCCCAAACUCCUACGGGAGGCAGCAGUGGGGAAUAUUGCACAAUGGGGGAAACCCUGAUGCAGCGACGCCGCGUGAGUGAAGAAGGCCUUCGGGUUGUAAACUUCUUUUACCAGGGACGAAGAACGUGACGGUACCUGGAGAAAAAGCAACGGCUAACUACGUGCCAGCAGCCGCAGUAACAC
rnacentral:rRNA from 1 species